AACCCCAGCAAAGCAAGCAAGUGAAAUUCUCAUAUUCCUUUACCGCACGUGAAAUAUCUGCUUUCAGAUGUCAUCUAUGUUGUGCAAAAUGUUCCAAUCAGUGUUAUAUCUUCCAAACCUCCCAUGUUGUUGCUGUAGCCACUCUUUCUCCCCAAAAAGGAAAUUCCUAGAUUCCUCUCUGCUUCUAUUUCUUCUUUCAGAUGAUGCAGUACUGUGCUCAUCUCAAACUGAGAGCUUUGAUGGGCAGUUCUUGGUGCUCAUGAUUCAAUUGGGGAUGCAGUGAGGAUGUUGUCAUUUAAGAUGGAAUUGGUUUGGGUUUGUCCCUUGGUGGUUCUUUAUCUUGGGGUGUUCUCAUUUGGGUCUAGUAAGAAUGUUUCUUCAAGACCAGCUGUGGUCAACAUUGGAGCUCUUUUCACGAUGGACUCUACGAUUGGUAAAGUUGCCAAGAUUGCUAUUGAGGAAGCGGUGAAAGAUGUGAACUCCAAUUUCAGCAUUCUCCAUGGGACCAAACUUGUUGUGAAAAUGCAGAAUACCAAUUGCAGUGGGUUUCUUGGAAUGGUUGAAGCUUUGCAAUUCAUGGAGACUGAUAUCGUCGCCAUUAUAGGCCCACAAUCUUCUGUAGUUGCACAUAUUGUAUCCCAUGUUGCAAAUGAACUCCAAGUACCACUAUUGUCAUUUGCAGCCACAGACCCAACUCUCUCAUCCCUUCAGUUCCCAUAUUUUAUUAGGACAACACAGAGUGAUUUGUAUCAAAUGACUGCAGUUGCACAAAUUGUUGAUCAUUAUGGGUGGAGAGAUGUUAUUGCCAUUUUUGUAGACGAUGAUUACGGCCGUAAUGGCAUAUCAGCUUUAGAUGAUAAACUUGCUGAGAGACGCUGUAAAAUUUCAUACAAGUUGGCAAUUCCCCCUGGACCGGCAGCUAAUCGGAGUGACAUCAUGGAUCUGCUUAUUAAGGUUGCCUUAUUGGAAUCUCGAGUUAUAGUUCUUCAUGUGAAUGCUGAUUCAGGUUUCAUGGUUCUUGCUGUGGCACAGUAUCUUAAAAUGACGGGUGAUGGUUUUGUAUGGAUAGCUACAGAUUGGCUUUCAUCUGUUUUAGAUUCUGCUUUUCCUCUUCCUUCUGAAAUUAUGGAUACAUUGCAAGGAGUUCUUGUUUUGCGGCUACAUACACCAGAUUCAGAUAGAAAGAGGGCCUUCUUUUCUAAGUGGAACAAGAUAACUGGUGGUUCUCUGGGACUGCAUACUUAUGGGCUUCAUGCUUAUGAUUCUGUUUGGCUGGUAGCUCAUGCUAUUGAUGCUUUUUUCAACCAGGGUGGGGUUAUUUCAUUCUCUAAUGAUUCUAGGAUAGAAGCUGUAGAACAAGGUGGUAGCCUUCACCUUGACGCAAUGAGCAUUUUUGAUGAUGGACCACUCCUGUUGAAGAACAUAUUGCAAAGUAACCUUGUUGGUUUGACAGGUCCCAUCAAGUUUGAUUCAGAAAGGGCUCUUGCUCUUCCAGCAUAUGAUAUUAUUAAUGUGGUUGGAACUGGGUUUCGACGAAUUGGUUACUGGUCCAACUAUUCUGGGUUAUCAACUGUACCUCCUGAGACUCUCUAUUCAAAGCCAGCUAAUCGUUCCAGUGCAAAUCAACAGUUAUAUAGUGUUGUCUGGCCAGGGGAGACAUUAACGAAGCCCCGUGGUUGGGUUUUCCCAAACGAUGGGAAACUCUUGAGAAUUGGUGUGCCUAUUCGGGUCAGUUACCGGGAAUUUGUAAUGCCAGUUCAGGGAACUGAUACUUUCAAGGGUUUCUGCAUAGAUGUAUUCAAUGCUGCUGUAAACUUGUUGCCAUAUGCUGUUCCAUGCAAGUUUAUCCCUUUUGGAGAUGGUCUGAAAAAUCCAAGCUACACAGAGCUUGUGAUAUCUAUCACAACUGGGGUCUUUGAUGCUGCUAUUGGUGACAUUGCCAUUGUUACAAAUCGAACGAAGAUUGUGGAUUUUACACAGCCAUAUGCUGCAUCUGGACUUGUUGUUGUGGCCCCCUUUAAAAAAAUGAAUUCUGGUGCUUGGGCCUUCCUUCGACCAUUUACGGCACACAUGUGGAUAGUCACUGCUGCUUCCUUUCUUGUUAUUGGUAUAGUUGUAUGGAUUUUGGAGCAUAGGAUGAAUGAUGAAUUCAGGGGUCCACCUAAGAAGCAACUUAUAACUAUCUUGUGGUUUAGCCUCUCAACUCUAUUCUUUGCCCAUAGAGAGAACACUGUGAGCACCCUUGGUCGAGUAGUGCUACUUAUAUGGCUAUUUGUGGUUUUGAUAAUCAACUCUAGCUACACUGCUAGUCUGACAUCAAUCCUCACAGUACAGCAGCUAUCUUCUCCUAUCAAAGGAAUUGAAAGUUUGAAAAACAGUGGUGAGCCAAUCGGGUAUCAAGUGGGUUCCUUUGCUGAGCAUUAUUUGAGUGAGGAGCUCGGCAUAUCCAAGUCCAGGCUCAUUGCCCUUGGCUCUCCUCUAGCCUAUGCUGAGGCACUUCAGCUUGGUCCUAAAAAGGGAGGUGUUGCUGCGGUGGUUGAUGAACGUCCUUAUGUUGAGCUAUUCCUCUCAACACAGUGCAAGUUUCGGGUUGUAGGUCAAGAGUUCACGAAAAGCGGCUGGGGUUUUGCAUUUCCACGAGAUUCUCCUUUAGCUGUUGACAUUUCAACUGCAAUUCUACAAUUAUCGGAGAAUGGUGAUCUGCAACGGAUCCAUGAUAAAUGGUUGAUGCAAAGCUCUUGCAGUUUUGAGAGCACUGAAAUUGAAUCAGACCAGCUUCAACUCAGAAGCUUUUGGGGCCUCUUUCUCAUAUGUGGAAUUGCUUGCUUCAUUGCUCUCCUUGUAUAUUUUUUGCAAAUUAUGAACAAGCUACGUCAUGCUGACCCACCUCAGAGUGUUUUAACUAGUCCUGGUGUCUCACAAUCUGGGCGACUCCGGCGAUUUUUAUCAAUAAUUGAUAAAAAGGCUGACCAGUCCAAUAGUGGAAGUAAAAAAGGAAAGUUAUUAGAUCACUAUCCGACAACGAUAAAGAUGGUAAGUUGGGUUGGACUCCCAAGAAGAAACAAGCAGAAAUGACUGAUAUGGGCGAGGGUGACAUCAAGUCCAGCAGUUAACUCAUUGGUAGAUCAUCACAAUUGUACCAUUACAGGUAAGUUAUAAUAUGAGUAUCUGACCAUACCUAAUUAUGCCAUAGUAGCUACUAGUGUACUCUGAAUCACUGAUUCUAAGAACAUGUGCUGAACAAUAUUGAUUCAUGGAAUUUAUGGAAUCUAGUUGCUAGUGUAAAGCAUAUAUUAUAUACUCUGCCUAUUGACCGCAAUAAUUAACUAUUUUAUAUUCGGAGAAGAAAUUCAUUUGGUGUUUGGUUGUCUCAUAUUUUGGACAAGCGUUGAGUCCAGUUUCACUCCUUACUGUUAUUAAGUUGAACAUUCUGAUGUAGAACCAAAAGGAAAAGAUAAACAAAAAGUUCACUGGUAAAUGGUUCAGUUCCUUGCAGACGUUUUUUUUCGUCUUGUUUUGUUUUUUGUUAUGUUAAGUAGUGAGUGCAGAGUUAUAGAGUUCAAAAGAAUUAGGAUAUCUGCAAUGGUAUAGAUUUUUCUUGGUAAUAGGCCAAGUUGAUAUAACUUUGAGAUUGAGUAAAUUGGACGAUAGUACCGGAGGAAAUUUCAAUUUUAAGAGAAUUGAUUAUCUAUUUAUACUUUGGAUUUCUUUUAACUUACCAAAUAGAAAACACCUUUCCUCUCCUAGAAAUUCAUUUGCUCGCAAAUAUAGUAUAUGAGCUUUGAAUGACAUGAUUGAUUCCUUUCUUCCCUUUGAAAUUGAAGACCAAAAGCAGUAACAAUUAUCGUGGGUGUGGCAAGCAUUUGUAGGGAUAUCUGUUAGGUUCUGUGAUAGUACGACUAUGAAAAAUCACAUUUCUGUCAUACACAGCUUCUAUACUGCACGUUUUCAUAAGAUUUGUUAGGUUCUGGGAAAGCAUGGUCAUGAAGUAUUACUGUACUUUUAUGACAUUGCUGUAUGUGUUACAGGUCAGUUCUUAUGCUUAGCAAGUGAUUAGUUCAUCUUAAACUCUAAUUCAAUUAUUACCAAUCCUAUUUUAG